rnacentral:lncRNA from 1 species
UUACUAUUAUCGAUGGUCGUGUCAUGCGCCGCGAUAGUUGCAUGGACAGAUAUGUCCCCCAUGGGUCCCAGACUGAGAGACAGCGGGUGUGUAUCACUAGGUCAGACAUGCAUCAUUAUACUUGACAUUGCAUUACACAUACUUAUCAUUGGUGAACUUGAUAUUGUGUUUUGCUGAUCUUGUGAUUGACUUUCUGUGAAAUUUGUGAUUGAUGAAUACUGAGCUUGUUAUUAAGGAUAUGUAAUUUGUUGAAUUGUUGUUGUUGAGGGUAUGUAAUUAGUUGAAGUGUUGUUAUCGAGGAUAUGUAAUUUGUUGAAGUGUUGUUAUCGAGGAUACGUAAUUUGUUAAAGUGUUGUUAUUGAGGAUAUGUAAUUUGGUAAAGUGUGGUUGUGGAGGAUGUAUAUGUAAUUUGUCUAAGUGUUGUUGUAGAGUUACGUGCUAUGGAAAUAUGAACUGUUAGGUUAGACUGAAUUUUAUGUAGUUUGUAAUUGUGGAGUUUCGGUUGGGGUGGUAGGAGUACCCGUAUUUCAUCCCCUUAGCUUGUGUUUAGACGUUUACUUGCUGAGUACCGUGUGGUUUGGUACUCACCCCUUGCUUCUACAAAUUUUUGUAGGUUAUGAGCCUGGAUUUUUGUUGUACUUGUCAUUCUCUUCUUUUCUGAGGCUUCUUGGAGAUUUGUCAGGUAGUUGAUUCCAUCGCAGCAGACUUUCUUCUCCUUAAUUAUGUUCUUGUUCUAUUCUAGAAACAAGUUCAUUUGAGACUUGAGUUUUCUUUUGAAUCAAUUGUAAUAUUUUAGAGGCUUGUACACGUGACAACUAGGUUUUGGGGUAUAAUAUAAGUCGAUAGUAAAUUUUCCGCAUUUUAUUGUAAUAAGUUGAGUUUUAGGCUGACUUGUCUUGGUGGGAUAAGACAAGUGCCAUCACGCCCAUUUUUGGGUCGUGACAAAAUGGUAUCAGAGCCCCAGUUUCAUAGGUCUCACGUGUGUACAAGCUGAGUCUAACUAGAGUCUUGAGGAUCUGUACGGAGAUAUCUGUACUUAUCUUCGAGAGGCUAUAGUGACUUUUAAGAAAAAUCUUCACUUCUUGGAUCUCAAUCGUGCGUAUUUGGUUUGGUUUUGACUAUCAUCGCUUCAUUCCAUUCCUUCUCAUUUUGUGAUGACUCGUGUGUAGUUCCUCAUGUCACUAGUUGGUGUUACGUAUGGAUUGAAUGAUAGAUUUGGUACUAGGGUUGAAGUGAUAUACUUAUGAAAAUAAUGUGUGGUUCGAUAAUUGAAAGUGAACCAAUUAAACUGAUGGCAAGAUAAUGUUCAAUGCAACUUGAGAAAACACAGUAAGAUAAAUUGUCAUAAUAUGUAUGAGUUGCUUAGUGAAUGAUAAGAAUGUUGUUAUACCAAUUGAGGUCAGAUCCUCUUUUGUUGUUUUAUAGAUUGAGUGUAUACCAAAGGUGGUUAUGAAAUGACUAUUACAAUGGUACCAAUUUCUCACUUGGUUAUAAUUAUGUUUUUUUUGCUACUCUUGUUAUGGACCUAAUCUAUAAAAAAAUGCACAUCACGUUAGACGAAAAGCCGAACCAAUUUGGUAGCGUAUUAUAUAUAGUUAGUUAAUGGCUAGAAACGUGUGGGCUAUUUGGGUAUAAUCUUUUCGCUAGGUAUGAUGUGUUCUAGUGGUGGAUUUAACAGACUUUACAAUAUGGCACUAGUGGUAUAUAUAAAUUGAUAUGUUGAUUGUUAAGUGUGAAUAAAAAAUACCUAGAGAGUUAUUAGUUGUAUCAUUUGUUCAGAUAAUUAGAUUUGGUAUUGAAUAAGGUUUGAGAAACCAACUAGUUUGUUACUACGGAUGCUUGAGCUAAGCGUAAUUUAUAAGGAAGCAUUUAGUGUGGAUCUUCAGUACGAUAUUAAUGUGUUAGAGUUGAGAAGUCUAUUCAGAGGAUUCUAAAUGAGGAUCAAUAAUUUCAUUUUAAGGUCCAAGGGAAUGGAUAGAUACCAUAAUCACAAGCUUGUGGGUAAAUGAAGUCUCAGAGAGUAUACUUGUGUGAAGGGAAUUGAAAAUCUUAAUAAAAAAGUGCAUAUGGUAUUGGGUUAGUCUUGUGAAUUUUAUUUGUAAAGUUGGUUUUGAGAUGUCAUGGCAAUGACAAAGAUUACUCUAUGGUGAUGGCAAGGGCUAAACGAGCAUAAUGGUAGUAAGAGUUUGUGAUGGAUUGAGAUUGGGAUGCGCUAUAUGACAAAGAUAGUUUGUUAAAUGGAUUUUUGUAUAGUAAUGACAACUUGCGAGUAUAUAAUGUUAUGGUUUGCUAUAGUUCGAUGAGUAGUCUUGUUUCAAGUAAAGUUAUAGGAGGUGUUGCAACACUGCUCGAAAAGAAUUUAAAGGAGCUAGAGUCAUAUUGAAAAAAUAAUACUAAUAAAUUAAUUAGCUGAUAUAGUGUAGCCUUCGAAAAGAGGUGAGAGUAAGAAUAUUUUCUUUGAUUGCAAGGGCUAAAGAGGUAUAUUCACAUGGGUUGAGAAUUGGAUUUAGAGACACAUGAUUUCACCCAUAUUUUCUUUGAUUAUGGUAAUAUAUAGUGUCACAAGAUCAUCAGAUUGGUUAAAAACUAUUGGAUAAAUCUUGAGAAAGGAGUGAACGAUCGUUCAUCUCGAGUAUAAUAAUUAGUUUGUUUGUGGUUUUGAGUUUUAUAAUGAAUAUGGUAGAAUUUUAGCGAAAGAUAUGAUAAGGUCGAUGGAGAGGUGAUCAAUGAAAAGCUAAGAUGCGUGAAUUAAAAAAAAUCCUUAAGGUAUGAACUAAUGUUAAUAGAUAAUGGGAUUGUUUUACAUGGUUGGGAUAAAAAAAUCAAAGAUUUUCAUUGUGAGUUAAGAAUUGUGGUAAUAUGUUUUGUCAAGGUAUGAAUUGGUAAGGGGUAAGAAAUGGUUGAUCACAUUGAGUAUGAAGCAUUUGAAGAACUUAAAAAUAAUUUGAGUAGUAAAUUUGGUUACUUUUAAUUGUUAUACCUAAGGAAUGGUUUUAGUUUAAGUUUUUGUUUAAAGGAUAAGGUAAAAAUGUCAUGUGUUGUUGAACAAAGAUAAGACUUGUAAGUGAGUUAGAAAAUAAUAACUAAAUAAAACAAAAUUUUGAUGUAUUGAAGAAUUUGAGAUUUUUUUUAAAUUUCUGUCAUGUGAAGAAUUUAAGAGUUUAAGAAAAAUGAAGGAAUAAGAACUCUCGUAUAAGGCCUUGGUUUGUACUUGAAGUAUUUAUUGAUUUUUAUCUAUGAGUAUAGAUAUGAAUGUGGGAUGUGAACUAGUUCGGUAUAGACUUACAAGAAAGUUAUCAUCGCCUUUUCUAAAGAUUGAAUUUUUUGUUGGGUGACAAGCAAUUAGGUGUGAAAGAUUUAUGUGGUUAUAUCGAGGUGGAUUGUCCCAAUUAUGAUAGGUAACUUAAUAAUACGUAACAAUAUGAACCUAUAGUUAAACAGGGUUAUUAAGGAUUUUGAGGGGAUUGAGAUUACUAUUUUUAUAAGACAACAUAGACUGUCAUGCUAUGUUACAUAGACAUUUGGCAGUGAUUAGAGGUUAGAGCUUAUAGUAUACAAAAUUAUUGGAGUGACCACGGAUUUCGUUGAGUUUUGGCAUGAGGUACAUGAUGGUAUGAAUGGUAGUGGGAAUGUAUGUAAAAUUACGAAGUUGACAUUGGAUGUGAUUCAAUUAGCUUACUUCAAUGGAAAAGUAUUUUGAAAAUAGUGCUAUCAGUAUUAGGUGUGACUCAUAUAUGUCAUGUUAUGCUUAAAUGGAAAAAGAGAGAGAGAGACAGAUUUUGAAAUUUGUAGAGGCUACAAUGUGUUUUAUAUGGAGAUUUUGAUACUAGGGACAGUUUCAGAGUAAGGUAAAUGGUUGGUGUAGUUAUGAUUUUUGUUUAUUUUUAGAGUGUUGGCUUCAAUGGAGUACUUGAAAAAGUAUGUGAAAUUUGAUUAAUCAAGCAUUUGUUAUGUUGUGAUGGGAGGCCAGACUGGUUGAUUGUGGGUGGUUAAAAAUCAAGAGAUGGAGUCAGAUAAAUGGGAUUUAACUUAUAAGGUUCCUAUGGAGGAACAUCUUGUUUUAUUCAACCUUGCUUCCAUAUAUUCUUAUGUGACAAACUACUUCAUUCAGGACAUGAUUUAGAGUAUGAUUCUGAUUCUACGUUCGUGUGUGUUUUCGCUUCUAUGGGUGAAUUCUUAGUGGUGGAUCAGGUGUACCGAUUGUUAGAUUUUUCUCUAGUAGGAUGCCAUCCUUGGUUAAACUUUUUCAUUUUAGAUAUGAUAUAUUUGAUGUUGUUUGAGAUAGUAGAAGUAUACUAGUAAUUCUACACGCACGACCUCUCUUAUGAGAACGUAUAGUUUUCAUGAAUAGUUAUAGUUAUCCAACAAUGUUAUUAAAGGUUCUAGAUCUUAGAAUAUACCACUUGUUAGGUGUUUACUAAUUUUGUUCUUCUUUGAGUUAGAUAUGUUUGAUUAGCCAUUGAUUAGUACCCAAUGUCCAAAGAUUGAGUUUUAUAGAACAGGUUCAUGGGAUAGAUAUGUUGUGAGAAAGGAAUCUUGAAAAGAUUUAUGAUGGUUUGAGCAAUAUGACGAUUUGAUGGUUGCUUCACGUUCGCUGUUAGCUUUAACCAGUAUUGAUUUUGAAUUCUAUCAAAGUAAUGUGACAAGGGGUUUGUCCAGAUGGUGUGUUGUUAUUUGUAAGAUUUCUUUUCAAAUUGAGUUCAUAGGUUAGUCUGUAUGAUAAUCAAUCCUGAUAUGUGAAUCGGUUAGAUUUUGAUUCGAAAGUUGAGUUCAUAGUAAUUGAUUUUGAUGAAAUGGUCUUAAAGAGGAGCUCACUUUUAGAGAUAAAUAUUAACUAUGGAAAUUAUACCUCAGGUUUUGGUAAUGUCAAAUAUUCUUUCUUCUUCUUCCUUAUGUUCAAGGACGAACAUGAUUUUUAGUGGUGGAUAAUGUAAUGACCCGAAAAGUCAUUAAUAGAAUUUUUUAUAAAAAAAAUAUAGUUUCGUCCUCCCGAUAUUUAACCCGUGUCAUUUAUGAUAACUCGAUGAAGUGGGUGUGAGAAUUUUAAAUUAUUCGAUAACUAUAAUUAAUUAGUUGGCAUACAUUUAUUAAGUAAUUGAUUUUAACUUAAUUGAUGGUUAAUGGGCCAAACUUAUAAUUAAUGUAAUACUUAAUUUCACUUGGCCCAGAUAUUAAAAAAAAAGGUUAAUGAAUUUGUUAAUUUCAAUACCUAAUUAUUUUAUUUAAGAAAAGAGGAAGGAAAAGAAAGAAACGGAGAGUAUAAACUCAUCCGUGCGGAGCGUGGACUGCCGCCUCUAAUUGAGUUAAGGUGAGAUUUUUCUUAUUCAAAAGUUGUUACAAUAAUCAAAGUCAUUAAUUACUAAGUUUUUAAAGUAUGAAAUAUGCUAUUUUAGUUGAAAUUAAUGAAGGAGUUGAAGGUUAGUAAUGUUGGCAGAUUAGGUAGUAUUUCUAAUUCUUUUAUUGCUAUGUUACUAAUGAUUAUUGGGGUGCCAUAAUUGAGUAAUUAUGCUUGAGAAUUUGGAUUUAUAUAUAGGGCGUAGGAAUUUGAAAUUCUUAGAUUGUUGUUUACCAUUAGUUGUUCAUAAUAUGAUUUCAGUGUUUUCAAAAAAAAAUCCAUGGUAACAUAUUUGAUUCGAGGUUUGAUAUAUUGUUAUAUCUAAUUAAAUUUUGGGGGUAUUUUAUUGUAAGAAAAGUAUUAGGGUUGUAGUGUUUGGAGAAAUUAUGACUUAACUCAAGGUUCGAAUUUGAGAAAUAUGAGAGUUGGAAUAUUAAUUGGCAUCAAGAUUAGGAACGUGAUUAUAAAUUGGGGUUGAGUUAUUGACUAUACACGUAUAAAUAUGGGUGUUGUUGAUUUUGAAAUCUUAUUGUGAUUAAUUAUUUUGCUAGAUUUAUUUGAUUUGGAAGUUCAACAAAUGGAAAAGACUCAAGUUCUGGAGUAAAUUCUUGUUGGAUUCAGGCCAGUGGAUUUCUAAACUCUUGUUAAGUGUAUGAAAUGUGUGUAUUUCCUUGUGGUAUAUGUUUGGGAGUAACGGGAUUGGUGAUGGGUUGACUUGUCCACAUUGGUUAAUUCUAAUGAUGAAAAAAAAAGGGAUAACAAAAGGCAAUGUGCUUAAUUGUUUAUGUGUGAUGUGUUGAGAAAGGGUUGAAGACUUGUUGAAUCAUUGUUGAUGUAACUUCAUGUUUGUGUGGUUGUGAACUGUGCGACGUUAUGAAAAUGGUCAUCUCCUCAUUAUUUGUGUGAACUUCUCAUCUACAUUAUUCUGAGGCAUCGGUUGUGACAAGUGUUAUGUGCAUUGAGAUAGAAUGGGUACUUAAGAGGAUGUACCAUUUUGAGGGACGUAUCGCGCGCCGCGAUUAAUACUAUAUUUCGAGGGACGUAUUACCCGCCGUGAUGGUUACUAUUAUCGAGGGUCGUGUCGUGCGCCGCGAUAGAUGCAUGGACAGAUAUGUCCCCCAUGGGUCCCGGACUGAGAGACAGUGGGUGUGUAUCACUAGGUCAGACAUGCAUCAUUAUACUUGACAUUGCAUUACACAUACUUAUCAUUGGUGAACUUGAUAUUGUGUUUUGCUGAUCUUGUGAUUGACUUUCUGUGAAAUUUGUGAUUGAUG